UUAUGGUUCUAUGAUUGAAAAGAAAGAAACAUGAUCACAUGUUAUAAUUUCUAGGGUUUAGGGUUAGAAGCAAUUUAGGUUUUUUUUUUUACAUAAAAUAGAGUUAGGGUUUCAUACAUGAGGUAACUAGGUUUUCAUUUUAUUUCCCUCUUGUCAAAGGAACAACUUGGUAAGUAAAGUUGAAUUUAGGAAACAACUCUUAAAUAUAAUUCAAUAAUGGUUUUAACAUUUUUCUUAUUUUUCUUAUAAGAAAAUGAUAAUUAGUAUUAAUACCAUUUAGGGUUUAAAUGAUAAUCUUAAUGUUAACAUGAUGAAAGAAAAUUACUUCUAGUGUUUUCUUUAUUUUUCCUAAAUGAUUUUUAUUUAAUGUAUAGAUAUUAAACACACAUAAGCGCAUAUAUUACUUCUAAGCACUUGUAUGUAUAAGUGCUAUACACAUGUGUGUACGUGUAUUAGUACACUAGUUUGCAAUAUAACAACGUGUAUUAGUACACUAGUUUGCAAUAUAACACACACGCACACAUAUUAAUGGGCUAGUUGUAAUUUAGGUAGAGCUAAUGGGAUAGUUAAGUGAUUGGCUUCAACUACGGCCAUUAGCAUAGUCGGCCACAGCUGGCCAGCGAGUUGGGUCAAACCUACUUGCGUACACGAACACAACACGCGCACGCGAUUCCUCUGUUCAGCACUCGCACUCGAUGCGGCCGUCGCCGCUGCUCACGGCUCCGGCCAUCGCCGGCCGCCUGCAGUGCCGCCAAUCACCGGCGAGGCUCAGCAUCCACAUGCUCUAACUCUCCAUCUUUUCAAUUGGGUCCUCGAGGCCUCGCUCGGACGACCUCGUGUUGAUCCCCUCUCAUGACUACACGGCCGCGUGGCCUAGCUCCGGCUGAUUCCGGCCAUUGCCGGGUAUCUCCGGCGCUGCCCUGUACCGGCGAGGCUACUCCUCCAUCUCUCCCACGGCUCCCCUUCACCUUUACUUGUUCCUGUGCUCGCGCGCGUAUUCUGGCUAACCCUAGCCCCUGCUGUUUCGGCGGUCGCCGGCCGACACCGGCGCUGCCGCGUCCACGCGACACAGGUCAACCUCUGCCUUGUCCUCUCUACCGUGCCGCCGCCACUCGCACCCACGCCCCUGGUUAACCCUAGCCAUGGAUUUGGUUUGGUGGCUGGAGCGAUGCCGAUGUGAUGUUACUGGUGUACUGAUUGUGAGGCCGUGCUGGUGAUGUGGUGCGGCAAUGAUGCCGUGGUGGUGAUGCCGCUGGUGUAUCGUGUGUCGACCACCGUAUCAACGCUGGCAAGAUGGCGUCGCAGGCGCAACCUUGGCGUCCACGAUCUCGUUUCCUCCACUGCAGCAAUGGUUCUACUUGGUUGGCAUGGGAAUAAUUCUUGGACCCUAAGUAGUUCCCGAUAGCAUGCUGAAUUGUUGAUUAACAGUGGCUGCUUAUGGUGAGGACUAAAUCAUGUGCAUAAAUGAUAUUGUACAGUAGCUGUGUUGGAAUGCACAAACUGAUGCUUUCCUGAGUUCUUGAAUAUGAUCUAGUUGCGGAUUAUCAACUAGAGAUGAUUUUUGUAUGGUUGGAUUUUAUUGGUGGACCUUGAUGUUCCCUUUUUGAUCAGCUAUAACUGAUAAGAACAUAUUUGGCUUGAUCUUGUAGCCUUGCCAAUGAUGCAAAGGCUGAGGCACUAUUUGUAAUAAGAAUAGAUAUAUGUUGCUUAUUUUAUCCUCUAUGAUGAUUCAGCAUAGCACCUCUAUGCAGAUCUGAGAGGAAUAUAUCUUUCUAUCCUCCUAGGUGAAAACCUAGUUGAAGGGUAGCUAGAUGAUUUUACUGUGUAUAUGGUUCUAUUUCCCCGAAAAUGUCUAUGGAAGAACAAAUAUUGUGUGAUAUAUUUAAGCUAGUGGUUGGUCUCUACCUGUUGCUCUAUAGCUUGAUAGCUGGUUGGUUCUUCUAGCUUCUGUGAUACUUUGCUUCUGGUGGCAUGCCUUCUCCUCCUUACUUCCUGAUCUGCUUCUUUAUGAUCUAGCUGAUGAAUGGGUAACUGCUAUCAACAGAACUAUUGAUAUGAUUUGGUUGGUUUGGUUAGUGGAGAUAUUGUGAAGGAGCUUCAGAUGAGUCUGCUGGUGUGCUCAAGAGGUGUUGCGGUUGAAUGAGUGUGUGUACUAUGAAUUCUUCCUGGUAGAGGGGUUUAUAUACUACUUAUACUGCUGGGCUCAUGUUGUGGUGUCGACAGCACACAGGUUGCAUGUGGUGACUAUGCUGCCUGUGUGUUCCUGGUACAUUGCAUGUGAUCAAGUAGAUAUUUGUGUGCCUCCUAGUGCAAGUCAGUGAGGCACGCCUGUUUGAUCUUAUCUACUAAGGUGGCCUUUAUUUUUGCUACUGCCAACUGUAUUACUUUGAUUGGCUGUGAUGGUUAUAUGCUGAAACAAGAUGUGAGUUUUAUUACUUAUUAUGUGUGGCUAUUGAUUCAUCUUGACUAACUAUUGUCAAUGGUGAAUUACUUAAAUUGAAAACUUGUAGGCAUUUAAUAGACACUAGCUAGAUUAAAGGGAAAUGAUAAAUUGAUUGCCUUGUUGCCUCAAAUAGUGUUGCCUUGUCAUCUGGAUCAAUUACUGUUGCCUAAGUGAUAUUCAAUCCCUGAUGUUGCAGUCCUUGUUGCCUCAUGAUAUUACUGACCCUGUCUCCUAAUUGAUGUUCAGUCCCUCUAAUCACCAUUUGGGAUCAAGAUUAGUUCUUGACUCCCAUUAGCUAGUUUCCAACAUUAAAAUGCCUCAUCAUGGAUGAUGGCGACAUUUUAAUCGUAACACUAUUCUCUUUUGUCUUUGUUGUUUGUUUUACAGGAAGAAAGGAUAAGAAGAGGAAUAGAAGAUUUAGUUUAGGGUUUUCUUUUAUUCUUUUGUAAUUUUAUAUUUCUUUUCUAACGUGUAAUUUGUUGAAUAAUGUUAUUUGUAAUAAAGUUUAACUCAUUUAUUCAUUUGUAAUUAUCAAAUGUAUUUACUUUUACAUAUUAUAUUUAUAUACUUGUUUAGAUUUCAAAUUCCAAUUCAAAUUCUUAUUUGA